CACGUAGGGGGCGAGCGUUAUCCGGAUUCAUUGGGCGUAAAGCGCGCGCAGGCGGCGCGCCAAGCGGGACCUCUAAUCUGGGGGCUCAACCCCCAGCCGGGUCCCGAACUGGCGCGCUCGGGUUCGGUAGGGGAGGUCGGAAUUCCCGGUGUAGCGGUGGAAUGCGCAGAUAUCGGGAAGAACACCGAUGGCGAAGGCAGACCUCUGGGCCGCGACCGACGCUGAGGCGCGAAAGCUAGGGGAGCGAACA
rnacentral:rRNA from 1 species